rnacentral:rRNA from 1 species
GUUAAGUUAUUAAGGGCGCAUGGUGGAUGCCUUGGCACUAGGAGCCGAUGAAGGACGGGACUAACACCGAUAUGCUUCGGGGAGCUGUAAGUAAGCUUUGAUCCGGAGAUUUCCGAAUGGGGGAACCCAACUUGUUAUGCAAGUUAUCACCUAAUGAAUAUAUAGUUAGGUUGAAGGUAGACGUUGUGAACUGAAACAUCUCAUUAGCAACAGGAAUAGAAAGAAAAAUCGAUACCGUCAGUAGCGGCGAGCGAAAUCGGUAGAGCCCAAACCAAAGUGCUUGCACUUUGGGGUUGUAGGACUGACAUUGUGGAGUUACAAAGUUAGCAUUUAGCAGAAUCAGCUGGGAAGCUGAGCGAGACAGGGUGAUAGCCCCGUAUGCGAAAAAUGUUGACCUCCCGUCAGGAUCCUGAGUACGGCCGGACACGUGAAAUCCGGUCGGAAUCCGCGAGGACCAUCUCGCAAGGCUAAAUACUCCCUAGUGACCGAUAGUGAACCAGUACCGUGAGGGAAAGGUGAAAAGCACCCCGGAAGGGGAGUGAAAAAGUUCCUGAAACCAUGUGCCUACAAGAAGUUAGAGCCCGUUAAUGGGUGAUAGCGUGCCUUUUGUAGAAUGAACCGGCGAGUUACGAUAACGUGCAAGGUUAAGGUGGAAAGACCGGAGCCGUAGCGAAAGCGAGUCUGAAAUGGGCGAAUUAGUACGUUGUUGUAGACCCGAAACCAGGUGACCUACCCAUGUCCAGGGUGAAGGUGCGGUAAAACGCACUGGAGGCCCGAACCCGUGCAUGUUGAAAAAUGCUGGGAUGAGGUGUGGGUAGCGGUGAAAUUCCAAUCGAACUUGGAGAUAGCUGGUUCUCUCCGAAAUAGCUUUAGGGCUAGCCUCGGAAUGUAGCGUGUUGGAGGUAGAGCACUGUUUUGGUGCGGGGCCCAUCUCGGGUUACCAAAUUAAGAUAAACUCCGAAUGCCAAUCACGUAUGUCCGGGAGUCAGACAGUGAGUGAUAAGAUCCAUUGUCGAAAGGGGAACAGCCCAGAUCGUCAGUUAAGGUCCCUAAGUGUGUGUUAAGUGGAAAAGGAUGUGGAGUUGCAUAGACAACUAGGAUGUUGGCUCAGAAGCAGCCACCAUUUAAAGAGUGCGUAAUAGCUCACUAGUCGAGUGAUUCUGCGCCGAAAAUGUACCGGGGCUAAACACACCACCGAAACUACGGGUGCCACGUAAGUGGCGCGAUAGGAGAGCGUUCUAAGGGCGAUGAAGUCAGACCGUGAGGACUGGUGGAGCGCUUAGAAGUGAGAAUGCCGGUAUGAGUAGCGAAAGACAGGUGAGAAUCCUGUCCACCGUAUGACUAAGGUUUCCUGGGGAAGGCUCGUCCUCCCAGGGUUAGUCGGGACCUAAGGCGAGGCCGAAAGGCGUAGUCGAUGGAUAACAGGUUGAGAUUCCUGUACCAGGUGAACAUGUUUGAACGAUGGAGGGACGCAGAAGGCUAACGGAUCCCAGCUGCUGGAUAUGCUGGGUUAAAUAAUGAGUCUUAGAUCGAGUUAAAUGCUUUAUCUUUUAAGGACAAGUUAUGAUGAGGACCGAAAUAAAGUAGGGAAGUCCGUGAUGUCACGCUGCCGAGAAAAGCUUCUAGUUAGUGUUUACCUGCCCGUACCGCAAACCGACACAGGUAGUCGAGGAGAGCAUCCUAAGGUGAGCGAGUGAACUCUCGUUAAGGAACUCGGCAAAAUGACCCCGUAACUUCGGGAGAAGGGGUGCUCAGCGAAAGCUGAGCCGCAGUGAAUAGGCCCAGGCGACUGUUUAUCAAAAACACAGGUUUCUGCAAAAUCGUAAGAUGACGUAUAGGGGCUGACGCCUGCCCGGUGCUGGAAGGUUAAAAGGAGUGCUUAGCUUCGGCGAAGGUACGAAUUGAAGCCCCAGUAAACGGCGGCCGUAACUAUAACGGUCCUAAGGUAGCGAAAUUCCUUGUCGGGUAAGUUCCGACCCGCACGAAAGGCGUAACGAUCUGGGCACUGUCUCAACGAGAGACUCGGUGAAAUUUAAAUACCCGUGAAGAUGCGGGUUACCCGCGACAGGACGGAAAGACCCCAUGGAGCUUUACUGUAGCUUGAUAUUGAGUGUUUGUGCAGCUUGUACAGCAUAGGUAGGAGCCGUUGAUACCGGGACGCUAGUUUCGGUGGAGGCAUCAUUGGGAUACUACCCUCGUUGUAUGACCACUCUAACUCGCACCACUAAGCGUGGUGGAAGACAGUGUCUGGCAGGCAGUUUGACUGGGGCGGUCGCCUCCUAAAAGGUAACGGAGGCGCCCAAAGGUUCCCUCAGAAUGGUUGGAAAUCAUUC